UGCAAGUCGAACGGUAACAGGCCGCAAGGUGCUGACGAGUGGCGAACGGGUGAGUAAUGCAUCGGAACGUGCCCAGUCGUGGGGGAUAACGCAGCGAAAGCUGCGCUAAUACCGCAUACGAUCUAUGGAUGAAAGCGGGGGACCGUAAGGCCUCACGCGAUUGGAGCGGCCGAUGUCAGAUUAGGUAGUUGGUGGGGUAAAGGCUCACCAAGCCAACGAUCUGUAGCUGGUCUGAGAGGACGACCAGCCACACUGGGACUGAGACACGGCCCAGACUCCUACGGGAGGCAGCAGUGGGGAAUUUUGGACAAUGGGCGCAAGCCUGAUCCAGCAAUGCCGCGUGCAGGAAGAAGGCCUUCGGGUUGUAAACUGCUUUUGUACGGAACGAAACGGUCUGGGUUAAUACCCUGGGCUAAUGACGGUACCGUAAGAAUAAGCACCGGCUAACUACGUGCCAGCAGCCGCGGUAAUACGUAGGGUGCAAGCGUUAAUCGGAAUUACUGGGCGUAAAGCGUGCGCAGGCGGUUUUGUAAGACAGGCGUGAAAUCCCCGGGCUCAACCUGGGAAUGGCGCUUGUGACUGCAAAGCUGGAGUGCGGCAGAGGGGGAUGGAAUUCCGCGUGUAGCAGUGAAAUGCGUAGAUAUGCGGAGGAACACCGAUGGCGAAGGCAAUCCCCUGGGCCUGCACUGACGCUCAUGCA
rnacentral:rRNA from 1 species